rnacentral:rRNA from 1 species
UACGUAGGGUGCAAGCGUUGUCCGGAAUUAUUGGGCGUAAAGAGCUCGUAGGUGGCUUGUCGCGUCUGCCGUGAAAGCCCAUGGCUUAACUGUGGGUCUGCGGUGGAUACGGGCAGGCUGGAGGCUGGUAGGGGCAAGCGGAAUUCCUGGUGUAGCGGUGAAAUGCGCAGAUAUCAGGAGGAACACCGGUGGCGAAGGCGGCUUGCUGGGCCAGUUCUGACGCUGAGGAGCGAAAGCGUGGGGAGCGAACAGG